ACAUUAUCGAACCUCUGUGAUACGGCAGAGCUAUGCUACUGUAAGUUCCACAAAGCAUAUGAUGGUAUAUCAGUUCUAAGGAUAAUAACAUUUGAUAUAAUUAACAAAUUCUUCUAGCGUUCAAUAAUUUUGCAGGAGUUGCAAGUAUUUGUUUAAUUGGAGAAGUAUGAAAUAACUGAUUUAUGAGGAACAUUCAAAUAAUAUUUCUGCAGCUCGUUCAUUUUUCUCUUGGAUCGCAGCCUAAUUGUUUCAUCUUCAAGUUUCCACAAGGUGUCUGAGAAACUGAUUUAAUCGGAACUAGGUUUCUCGACGAAAAUUUACAUUUUAAUUUCUUUACUGGUAUUUCUGCCUGAUUUACGUAGAAUAGCAUCUUUUCAUUAAAUUACAAACAAAAUGAUUAUUAUUCAUCUCAAACAAUGAUUGAUCUAAGAUAUUUUCAAGAGUUAAUAUGUUCAAGUUCUAAUUCAGGAAACGGCAUCGUAAAAUUCAAUUACAGGCAUAAAUAAAUAUAUGUUUGGAUAUUGUUUAAAAAUAAAAUGAAAAACUAAAAUGAACUAACACUAUAGAAAUUUUACCGGACUGUUUUACAUGACUGACGCAGCCAACAUUUAUAUGGCAAUAACAUUUCUCACACUGAAAGAACAGGAAGUUACAAGCAUUGGCAAUGUGUACCUAUUCUCUACAGUAUCGUACUAUGUAAUUUCUUACGAUAUUAUUUGAUGUGUAAACAUUGCAAUAUGAAACACACGUACGCUAUUGGCCUAUGGAGACAGAUCAUCCUGGGAGUAUUAUGUAGCAUUUGGGAUAUUUAAUAAAGCCUUUCCUACUAUUAUGGAGAAAUUAUUGGACUCUGGGAGCGACAGUUCUUUGAAUUAUUUAUUAGUUUCUUUUCUUUUUUGAUAGCUUCGGAGUGCCUAGAGCUUAUUGCUUUAGAGGACCGUACGUUUAAGAUCAUGAGCAUUAGUCCCAUGACAUUUUAGAUGUUCUAUAGAUAGCAGAAAUGUUACCAUCGGUACGAUAUAACAUUAAUAAUAUAAUUAUGGGUGAUUUUGAUUUGUUCUGUAUUCGUGUAGCUGUGGAUAUUGGAAUUUGACAGUUAGCUUUGUAUGUCUUUAGAGAGUUUGAAAUAGUUGGCUGCAGUGUGUUAAAAACUUUUGUUGGAGUUUGUUAGAAAUAGUCACAACAAACUCAUUUGAUAAAAUGAUAUGAAACUAUGAGUAUAAAUUUCGAAAAAGACUUUGAUUACUGAAAUCAUGUUGUAGUUUACUAAAGAAUGUUCCGCGUUAUACAAAGGAUAUUUAAGUACAUGGAGGAUAGGAAACCACAUUGGAAUCCACGAUUGGAUUAUUUAAGGUCUGCUUCUUAUAAAUCUUAUUAGUUUUUGCUGUCAAUCUGAGACAUACUACAGAAUAUGUCAGGCGUGACAUAAGCUGUGAAUGCUGGGAAAUGUUAGUGAUCACCUAUAACAAUAGUUUUGAGGACGUCAAUAGCGAAGAUGAAUUUGAUAAGAUAGAAAUCUUAUCAUCUCAAAUAGAAACAGCUGAUGAAUUUUUUCUUGCUCCUAUUGCAAGCUUAACUGAAAAGGAAGUUGACCUUUUAGACCGAAAGGAGAGGGAAAGAAAGCGUAUUGCACGUGCUGUAGCCCUAAUUUCCGGGAUAUUGUUUUUGGUCAGUGUUGCCUUGGUUACAGUAUCGCUCUACAUGGCUAAAGAUAUUGACGAAAUGGUUCGCAAUUCCAACGAAAUGCUUCGAAAACACAACGACAGAAUAUCAGGCAUGCAUGUCGACGGGAGUACUGGGGGAAAUAUGACGGGGUUAUGACAAGAAAAGGACCAAAUUUGAUCCUCCUAUUUGCGCUUCCUCUUGUUUGUUGAAAUUUACCGUUGACUUAAUGCACGGUUAUUUGACUGAACUUGCCAAAUAUAAGUGCAAAAUGAAACUGUAAUAUGAAACAAAAUUCAGUCAAAUAUGUAGUAACGUCAUUGUGCAUUUAACAUUAAAAUAAACCGUGCAGUCAAUGUUUCAUAUGUAAGAUGUGUAUAGUUGUGAUAUUAGUGAGACGGCGGCAUUUAUGUGUAUUUUAGGCAAGCAAGUGGCAAUCAACGAACAAAACGGAAUCUUUCAUAGAGGUGUUGAUAGCUCAUGUUUGAUUUAGAUGUGAAAUUCUACGCCAUACAUUGUAAAUUUUCAUUUAAGUCAUUAGAAAAUAGUAAGCAAAUAGUUCAUUGUAUAUUAGUCGCACAUGUAUCAUGCAAUUAUGAGGGUGUACAGCUUCGAGAAUAGGAGAACGCCACCCAAUUAGUUAGAGAAAUCAAAACGGUGAAUAAGCCUAUAAGACCAAAACAUGUUGUCAAAAUAAUGGUGCACAAUUAUCAGUCAGUCGUAGAAGUGUUGAUAAAUAUUUUGACAUUUAUUGCAAUAUUUAUACAGUUCACAAGGUUAAGCUUUGUCAUUUGUUUUAAGUUAUUUGGUGAAAUGAUUUUUGCAGUACUUAAAUAAUAAGAUAAAAAAAUGAAACAUGUGAUGAUAUUCCUAUUCUUAAUCAAUUGGACCUAGACAUACAACGCUGUUUACUGCCAUGUGAAUGCAGCUUUCUAGUUUAGUCGCCAAAGAAAAGGUCCGGCAAAAUACUGUGACGGAACAUUUCAGACACCAUAUUAAGCAGUACACUAAAGGCAAAGUUAAAAAGUACGGCAUAUAAGCAUUAACAGAAAUAUGAAAAGGUGUUUGCGAUUACUUAAUGUGAUGUAGUGUAGAUUUACAUAAGUAACAAGUGCUUAGAUAAAGCUUUACAACUUGCACUUGAAUCAAGCUAAUGAAUUAUGUAUUACAUAGCUUGUUAUGUUGAAAUGUAUUGCAAAACCCAAUGCUCUUUAACCCUUAGCCUGCUGGCGGCAAGUGAUUCUGCCUUUGCGACCAGUGCAGACCAAGAUCAGCCUGCACAUCCGUGCAGUCUGAUCAUAGUCUGCACUGUUCGCUAUUCAGUCAGUAUCUUUUUGGCAAAGACCCCUUUUAACAGUUAAUGGAACUGUCCGAAUUGAAAGAUGGACAAGUUCAUUAUAGAAAUUUAGCAGGGUAAGGGUUAAAACGUUAAGUGGCGUCAUUUUGUGCGCGGAGAUUCGUUUAAACUUAACGUAAUAAAAUAUUUUUAAAAUGAGAGUUUUAUUGUAAACAUGAAUAUGUUUCAUUUGAAUGGUGAUACUUGUAUAAUGGAUAUGAUAAGAUUCUGUUCAAAAUAUUAAAGGACAUAUAAAUUCAUUUACGAUACAUAAAGAAGUCUUCUUUUGACGUAAGCAAAAUAAACAGUAUUACAUUUCUGAUUAGUUAUGACAAUUAAACUUUGUGUUUUUAAUGUCUGUUUAUUGUUUUUCACUGUUAAUAUAAUUAUUCCAUGUCGAAUUGUAACAGGUCCUUAUUUGUAUAUAAUUUUAUAUUGUUUGAUAGGAUGACCGUUUUAUAUUUUAACAUAGCAUUCCAGUGCAGUUAUGGCGAAAAUGUGUAUUUUGUGUCUAUGCAUAGAACCUUUUCAUACAUUGUUAAGGCAUUUAUUUUCCAGACUUGGACUUCUAAAUAUAGCUGUUUAAUACUUUUAAUGAUUUGAAAUUAGACGAAAACUGAAAAAGAUAAUGUAUUGUAACUAAUAUACUUUAAACAAAGUCACCAUUAUUUUCUUCAUUUUAUCUAGAUAUAUUAUGGUGCACAUAUGCGUAUUCUUUAGAGGAUAGCCUCGGCAACAAUGGCUAAAAUCUUUAAAUAUUGUAUGCAGUAAGCUUAAAUUCUAUUGAAAUAACCUAUUUCAAUAUUUUAUUAAUGCAAUAAGCAAUGUAAAGCAAAUAUCAGACAGAUCUAUGCAAUGUUUGGAUGUUUGUCAAUUGGUGGUUGUGUUUAGGCUAUUUAACAUGUUGUUUACCAUGUAGCAUAUGCAUAUUAUACACAUAUUACUUUUCUGAUGUAAUUGUUAUUAAUAAUUCAUUAUGUUAUAUUACUGAAAUAAAUGUCUUGGUUAGAAGUA
rnacentral:lncRNA from 1 species